CUCCGCGGCAGGGACCUGGCUGUGUCCCCUUCCCGGGCCGGCUGAGAACCGCAUUGGCAUUUGUAGAUGGAAGGAAUGACGGAAGGCCCGAGGGCUGGUGGCCACAAAUUCAUUAACAUGGAAGAGUGGGCUGAUGGAUAUUUCUUCACGGACAUUUGGGUUGUUUCUAGUUUUUGCCUGCUGCGAAUAAAGCUCCUAUAAACAUUCCUGGGCCUGGAUCCAGCUGCCCCCCCAGAUCCAGAUCCCAGCCCAGCUGUAGCCUCCAUCGUGGCUGAGGGAGGGUCCCUUGGGUCUGGCGCCUACUUCAGCAGGAAAGCCCGUCUCUCCUUCCGCCACCAGCUGCAUGACAUAGCAUCGGCCAACGACUCCACCAUUUGAAGGGGACAACCAAGGGCUGAACUUCCAGGAGGCCUUGGCAACCUUCCUUCCCCCGCCUUCUCAGUCAUCCCAGUGUCCAGCUCCCUCAGAUCCCUCAUGACCUUCUUAUUAAAUACACUGAGAAUUGCCAAGU